rnacentral:rRNA from 1 species
CCUACGGGUGGCAGCAGUGAGGAAUAUUGGUCAAUGGGCGCGAGCCUGAACCAGCCAAGUAGCGUGAAGGAUGACUGCCCUACGGGUUGUAAACUUCUUUUAUAAAGGAAUAAAGUGAGGCAAGUGUGCCUUUUUGUAUGUACUUUCUGAAUAAGGAUCGGCUAACUCCGUGCCAGCAGCCGCGGUAAUACGGAGGAUCCGAGCGUUAUCCGGAUUUAUUGGGUGUAAAGGGAGCGUAGAUGGGUUGGUAAGUCAGUUGUGAAAGUUUGCGGCUCAACCGUAAGAUUGCAAUUGAUACUGGCAGCCUUGAGUGCAGUUGAGGUAGGCGGAAUUCGUGGUGUAGCGGUGAAAUGCUUAGAUAUCACGAAGAACUCCGAUUGCGAAGGCAGCUUACUAAACUGCCACUGACAUUGAUGCUCGAAAGUGUGGGUAUCAAACAGGAUUAGAUACCCCUGUAGUC